CUCUUUGGGGGCUCUUUGUCUCCCAAAGCUCCUUGUUCUUCCCUCUGCUGUUAAAUAUAGGCUUUUCCCCUCUUCACUCUUAGAACGUCCGGUCCUCUGCUCCAGGCCCUCCUCGGGAGUGUUCUGGUUUUCCCACCUCUUUCUGACCUGCAGCGACCUACACCUGCCCUGAGCUCCCUGCCCUGCCCCACGGGUUCCGCCAGGUGUUCACGCCUCCUGCAUUGUCCUUCCAUUCCUCAGACCUGACGCCCUUGGGAAAAAUGAUUCCCAGCCCGUGACACUCCAGGAGGUACCCGAUUCGAAUUGUCAAGUGGCUUUUCAUCAGAAAUGGAAAUUCCUUUUCAUUUUCCAAAGUGACGUGGCACUUUUGGGGAGAGGGGGGAUAAAAUAAUACAAAUAAGCUGAUCAAAUUCUUAAAAAUUACAGUAUUCAGUGCCUUACCAUAUUAGAAGCCAGUUGUCCAGUGACUCCUAAACCCUCAUUUCAAAAUUACACGAGGGCCCGACAGAGCGCCAGGAUCAUAUCUUUUCUCAGGUCCUGAUCUUGCCUUUCCGUGAGUUCGAGCCCCGCGUCGGACUCCGCACUGAGGGUGCAAAGCCUGCUUGGGAUUCUCUCUCUCCCUCUCUCUGCCUCUCUCCCUACGUUGCACUCCCUCACUCUUUCUCAAAAUAAAUAAACUUCAAAAGAAAUAUUUAAAAAUAAAUAAAAAUUAAAAAACCGAUGUGGGAUUGGCACCAAAAUACACCUACAGAUCGAUGGAACAGAAUAGAGAGCCCAGAAAUAAACCCACACCUAUAUGGUCAAUUGAUCUAUGAUAAAGGAACCAAAAAUACACUCUGGAGAAAGGAAAGUUUCCUCAGUAAAUGAUUUUGGGAAAAUUGGACAGACGUGCAAAAGAAUGAAAAUAGAUCACUAUCUCAUACCGUACACAAACUCAAAAUGGACUAAAGACUUGAAUAGAAGACCUGAAAUCAUAAAAUCCUGGAAGAAAACAUAGGCAGUAAGCUGCCAUAAGUCUUGGGGAUGAUUUUUUAAAUCUGCUACCCAAAGCAAAAGCCACAAAAGCCAAAAUGUAAACAAGUUGGACUAUAUCGAACUUAAAAGCCUCAGCAUAGCAGGGCACCUGGGUGGUCGGUUAGUUAAGCAGCCAACUCUUGAUUUCAGCUCAGGUCGUGAUCUCACUGAGAUUGAACCUCACGUUGGGCUCUGCACUGACAGCAUGGAGCCUGCUUAGAAUUCUGUCUUUCUCUCUUCUGCCACAGCCUGCUUGGGAUUCUGUCUUCCUCUCUCUCUACCCCUUCCCCCACUCAAAAUAAAUAAACUUUUUUUUUAAAUAAAGAGACCAAGCAUUUUUUAAAUUUUUUAAAUGUUUAAUGUUUAGUUAUUUUUGAGAGAGAGAGAGCGUGCACAAGUGGGGAAGGGUCAGAGAGAGAGGGAGACACAGAAUCUGAAGCAAGCUCCAGGCUCUGUGCUGUCAGCCCAGAGCCCGGCAUGGGGCUCGAACUCGUGAACUUCGAGAUCAUGACCUGGGCCAAAGUUGGAUGCAUAACUGAGUGAGCCACCCAGGUGCCCCAAAAUAAAUAAACAUUUUCAAAAAUUAAAAAUAGAACCACAUAUGACCCAGCAAUUUGACUUCUGGAUAUUUGUGCAAAGAAAAUAAAAACACUAAUUCAAAAAGAUAUAUGCACCCCCAUGUUCAUUGCAGCAUUAUUUAUCAUAGCCAAGAUACGGAAAUAGUGUAAGUGUCCAACAGUGGAUGAAUGGACAAAGCAGUUAUAUACAUACACACACAUACACACACAAAGAGUGGAAUAUUUUUCAGCCAUAAAAGAGAAUGAAAUCUUUGGGCACCUUUGUGUCUCAGUCCAUUAAGCAUCCGACUUUUGAUCUCAGCUCAGGUCUUAAUCUCAGGGUCAUGAGUCAAGCCCCACAUUGGGCUCUGCGCUGGGCAUGAAACCUACUUAAAAAAAUCCUGCCAUUUGCAACAACAUAGAUGGGACCCAGAGGGUAUUAUGCUAAAUGAAAUACGUCAGAGAAAGACAAAAAUACCAUAUGAUCUCUCUUAUAUGUGAAAUCUAAGAUAUAACACACACACACACACAUAUACACCAAACUCAUAGAGAACAAACAUUGAUGAUUGCCAGAGGCAGGGAGUGGGGAAUGGGAGAAAUGGGUGAACUUUUUUUUUUAGAUUAAAUAAAUUGAAUAUUUAAAGAAGUGAAUAACUAUGCUAGUAUUCUAACAUCUCCAUAACAUUUAGAAAUUCUAAACGGUUUAUCGGAUUAUUUAGGGAUUUGGAGAGAUUGGUAGCAUUCUUCACUUUCAAAAGUGCCUGGGUGGCUCAGUAAGUUAAGCGUUUGACUCUUGAUUUCUGCUCAGGUCAUGAUCUCUCAGUUUCAUGAGAUCAAGUCCCGAGUCGCUCUGCACUGACAGCGUGGAGCCUGCUUGAGAUGUUCUCUCUUCCUCCCUCUCUCUACUUCUUCCCUACUCGCAUGUUCAUACGCUCUUUCUCUCUCAAAAUAAAUUAAUAAACUUUUUAACAAGUUAUGAUUUAACAUUGAAAUAGAUUCCCUGCUUACUUAGGUAAAAGAUCAGUUUGGUCUGUCUGUGUCUCUCAAAAUAAAUAAAUAAACUUAAAAAAAAUUUUUUAAAGAGGUGCCUGAGUGUCACAGUUGGUUAAGCAUCCAACUCUUCGUUUCAGCUCAACUCAUGAUCUCACAGUUCAUGACUUCAAGCCCCACAUCAGGCUCUGGGCUGAUGGUGCAGUCUGCUUUGGGAUUCUGCCUCUCCUCUCUCCCCCUCCCCUGCUUUUGCGCUUGCUCUCUCUCAAGUAAAUAAACUUAAAAUACUUUUUUUAAAAAGAUGUUUGGGGGGUGCCUGGGUGGCUCAGUCGGUUAAGCGUCCGACUUCGGCUCAGGUCAUGAUCUUGCAGUUUGUGAGUUUGAGCCCCACGUCGGGCUCUGUGCUGACAGCUCAGAGCCUGGAGCCUGCUUCCGAUUCUCUGUCUCCCUCUCUCUGCCCCUCCCCUGUUCACGCUCUGUCUCUCAAUAAUAAAUAAACAUUAAAAAUUUU